rnacentral:tRNA from 1 species
GCGGCCGUGGUGGAAUUGGUAGACACGCCAUCUUGAGGGGGUGGUGCCUUACGGGUGUAUGAGUUCGAGUCUCAUCGGCCGCACCA